GACGAACGCUGGCGGCGUGCUUAACACAUGCAAGUCGAACGGAAAGGCCCUGCUUUUGUGGGGUGCUCGAGUGGCGAACGGGUGAGUAACACGUGAGUAACCUGCCCUUGACUUUGGGAUAACUUCAGGAAACUGGGGCUAAUACCGGAUAGGAGCUCCUGCUGCAUGGUGGGGGUUGGAAAGUUUCGGCGGUUGGGGAUGGACUCGCGGCUUAUCAGCUUGUUGGUGGGGUAGUGGCUUACCAAGGCUUUGACGGGUAGCCGGCCUGAGAGGGUGACCGGCCACAUUGGGACUGAGAUACGGCCCAGACUCCUACGGGAGGCAGCAGUGGGGAAUAUUGCACAAUGGGCGGAAGCCUGAUGCAGCAACGCCGCGUGCGGGAUGACGGCCUUCGGGUUGUAAACCGCUUUCGCCUGUGACGAAGCGUGAGUGACGGUAAUGGGUAAAGAAGCACCGGCUAACUACGUGCCAGCGGCCGCGGUGAUACGUAGGGUGCGAGCGUUGUCCGGAUUUAUUGGGCGUAAAGGGCUCGUAGGUGGUUGAUCGCGUCGGAAGUGUAAUCUUGGGGCUUAACCCUGAGCGUGCUUUCGAUACGGGUUGACUUGAGGAAGGUAGGGGAGAAUGGAUUUCCUGGUGGAGCGGUGGAAUGCGCAGAUAUCAGGAGGAACACCAGUGGCGAAGGCGGUCUUCUGGGCCUUUCCUGACGCUGAGGAGCGAAAGCGUGGGGAGCGAACAGGCUUAGAUACCCUGGUAGUCCACGCUGUAAACGGUGGGUACUAGGUGUGGGGUCCAUUCCACGGGUUCCGUGCCGUAGCUAACGCUUUAAGUACCCCGCCUGGGGAGUACGGCCGCAAGGCUAAAACUCAAAGGAAUUGACGGGGCCCCGCACAAGCGGCGGAGCAUGCGGAUUAAUUCGAUGCAACGCGUAGAACCUUACCUGGGUUUGACAUGGAUCGGGAGUGCUCAGAGAUGGGUGUGCCUCUUUUGGGGUCGGUUCACAGGUGGUGCAUGGCUGUCGUCAGCUCGUGUCGUGAGAUGUUGGGUUAAGUCCCGCAACGAGCGCAACCCUUGUUCACUGUUGCCAGCACGUUAUGGUGGGGACUCAGUGGAGACCGCCGGGGUCAACUCGGAGGAAGGUGGGGAUGACGUCAAGUCAUCAUGCCCCUUAUGUCCAGGGCUUCACGCAUGCUACAAUGGCUGGUACAGAGAGUGGCGAGCCUGUGAGGGUGAGCGAAUCUCGGAAAGCCGGUCUCAGUUCGGAUUGGGGUCUGCAACUCGACCUCAUGAAGUCGGAGUCGCUAGUAAUCGCAGAUCAGCAACGCUGCGGUGAAUACGUUCCCGGGGCU
rnacentral:rRNA from 1 species